CACACGACUCUCGGCAACGGAUAUCUCGGCUCUCGCAUCGAUGAAGAACGUAGCAAAAUGCGAUACCUGGUGUGAAUUGCAGAAUCCCGCGAACCAUCGAGUUUUUGAACGCAAGUUGCGCCCGAGGCCUUUUGGUCGAGGGCACGCCUGCCUGGGCGUCACGC
rnacentral:rRNA from 2 species